UGGUAGGUUGCCAUGGUUGCUUCUGAUGAUCGACAGUCUAUAAAGAGUUGGUCUUUAUGGGAGAUAGGUCGUUUUCUACGUGAGCAACAAACAACGGCUGGAAGCGGGUAUCAAGCAGGUGUUGGUUGUUAAUUGGGAUGUCCAUCACGAAAAUGGGACUCAAAAAGAUGGUUUUAGAAAGUCUCCUGUGUUCUGUUCAUGGGUAAAGGAGAUGACUUUGAUUUUGUAAAUAUGGGGAUUUAUGGAAUGCUUAUAUUUAGAGUUCAAGCCAUUUAAAGUUUGCAAAUUGAGGUAGUAGUUCAUAUCAACUACAGGGGCAAAUCUGUGUCAUUUAUGUAGGCAUGGCUGGAAGCUGGAUAUGGGUUGUGUGUUUUGUCCUAAGCAGACAGGAUGAAUAGUAACCAGUUUGUAUUGGACAUUGAUCUGUCAACACAUUUUUUCCACUAUUCAGUCACAAAAAUACAAGAAAUUAUCAGCAAACUUGAGUGGAUUUUGGGACACCGUAGAUGACUCGCCUGAUGGUGAUUCAAUAAUGCAGAAAUCCUAUGCAUAAAAUUGUAUAUUUGCAUCUGAUCAGGAGAUACUACAAGCAUUACAGCAAAGUGCAAUUGGCCAGAACUGAAAUUUCAAGCAAACAAUGCAUGCCUUUCUUGAGGUUUAAGAAGAAUGAGGUCAUGGCACUUGGCGUGCAAGCGUUGGAUCCAAGACUACCAUUUGGCGAGAUCGAAGUUCUUCAGGAGAAUUUAGAGUUGAUACAGAGAAAGACAGAUAGGCCUUGAUCAUGUGGAAAUAUUGUCUGCUGCUGACCCGGAUGCUGUUCUCAAAGCUGGUCGGCAUGCUUCUUUGUUAAAGCAAGCUCCACCAUCACCAGGAUCUCCUACCUCCAUUUUCUUGACUGAGGAUGGUAUGUCGUAUAUGUUGCUAUUUUAUACUGGCAAAUUGGUGCUGUGAGUAACAGGUCCAUUGGGUACUUGUUUAUUUUGGAAAAGCAAAUAGGUUCAUCUUUAUCCAGGUGAAUUUUAGUGUACGUCGUAACAGUCGUUAUGAAGUUUGGUUGACCAACAAGUAUUUACUUGUCUAGUUUUAAACAAUUUAUGAGAUUUAUGGACUGAAAUUAGACUAUUGAAGACUUCUCGCCCAUUUGAUCUAUAUAGUUUGGGGUUAAUUA